AAUGGGUCAGCGACUUAUAUUCUGUAGCAAGGUUAACCGAAUAGGGGAGCCGAAGGGAAACCGAGUCUUAACUGGGCGUUAAGUUGCAGGGUAUAGACCCGAAACCCGGUGAUCUAGCCAUGGGCAGGUUGAAGGUUGGGUAACACUAACUGGAGGACCGAACCGACUAAUGUUGAAAAAUUAGCGGAUGACUUGUGGCUGGGGGUGAAAGGCCAAUCAAACCGGGAGAUAGCUGGUUCUCCCCGAAAGCUAUUUAGGUAGCGCCUCGUGAAUUCAUCUCCGGGGGUAGAGCACUGUUUCGGCAAGGGGGUCAUCCCGACUUACCAACCCGAUGCAAACUGCGAAUACCGGAGAAUGUUAUCACGGGAGACACACGGCGGGUGCUAACGUCCGUCGUGAAGAGGGAAACAACCCAGACCGCCAGCUAAGGUCCCAAAGUCAUGGUUAAGUGGGAAACGAUGUGGGAAGGCCCAGACAGCCAGGAUGUUGGCUUAGAAGCAGCCAUCAUUUAAAGAAAGCGUAAUAGCUCACUGGUCGAGUCGGCCUGCGCGGAAGAUGUAACGGGGCUAAACCAUGCACCGAAGCUGCGGCAGCGACGCUUAUGCGUUGUUGGGUAGGGGAGCGUUCUGUAAGCCUGUGAAGGUGUGCUGUGAGGCAUGCUGGAGGUAUCAGAAGUGCGAAUGCUGACAUAAGUAACGAUAAAGCGGGUGAAAAGCCCGCUCGCCGGAAGACCAAGGGUUCCUGUCCAACGUUAAUCGGGGCAGGGUGAGUCGACCCCUAAGGCGAGGCCGAAAGGCGUAGUCGAUGGGAAACAGGUUAAUAUUCCUGUACUUGGUGUUACUGCGAAGGGGGGACGGAGAAGGCUAUGUUGGCCGGGCGACGGUUGUCCCGGUUUAAGCGUGUAGGCUGGUUUUCCAGGCAAAUCCGGAAAAUCAAGGCUGAGGCGUGAUGACGAGGCACUACGGUGCUGAAGCAACAAAUGCCCUGCUUCCAGGAAAAGCCUCUAAGCAUCAGGUAACAUCAAAUCGUACCCCAAACCGACACAGGUGGUCAGGUAGAGAAUACCAAGGCGCUUGAGAGAACUCGGGUGAAGGAACUAGGCAAAAUGGUGCCGUAACUUCGGGAGAAGGCACGCUGAUAUGUAGGUGAAGUCCCUCGCGGAUGGAGCUGAAAUCAGUCGAAGAUACCAGCUGGCUGCAACUGUUUAUUAAAAACACAGCACUGUGCAAACACGAAAGUGGACGUAUACGGUGUGACGCCUGCCCGGUGCCGGAAGGUUAAUUGAUGGGGUCAGCGCAAGCGAAGCUCUUGAUCGAAGCCCCGGUAAACGGCGGCCGUAACUAUAACGGUCCUAAGGUAGCGAAAUUCCUUGUCGGGUAAGUUCCGACCUGCACGAAUGGCGUAAUGAUGGCCAGGCUGUCUCCACCCGAGACUCAGUGAAAUUGAACUCGCUGUGAAGAUGCAGUGUACCCGCGGCAAGACGGAAAGACCCCGUGAACCUUUACUAUAGCUUGACACUGAACAUUGAGCCUUGAUGUGUAGGAUAGGUGGGAGGCUUAGAAGUGUGGACGCCAGUCUGCAUGGAGCCGACCUUGAAAUACCACCCUUUAAUGUUUGAUGUUCUAACGUUGACCCGUAAUCCGGGUUGCGGACAGUGUCUGGUGGGUAGUUUGACUGGGGCGGUCUCCUCCUAAAGAGUAACGGAGGAGCACGAAGGUUGGCUAAUCCUGGUCGGACAUCAGGAGGUUAGUGCAAUGGCAUAAGCCAGCUUGACUGCGAGCGUGACGGCGCGAGCAGGUGCGAAAGCAGGUCAUAGUGAUCCGGUGGUUCUGAAUGGAAGGGCCAUCGCUCAACGGAUAAAAGGUACUCCGGGGAUAACAGGCUGAUACCGCCCAAGAGUUCAUAUCGACGGCGGUGUUUGGCACCUCGAUGUCGGCUCAUCACAUCCUGGGGCUGAAGUAGGUCCCAAGGGUAUGGCUGUUCGCCAUUUAAAGUGGUACGCGAGCUGGGUUUAGAACGUCGUGAGACAGUUCGGUCCCUAUCUGCCGUGGGCGCUGGAGAACUGAGGGGGGCUGCUCCUAGUACGAGAGGACCGGAGUGGACGCAUCACUGGUGUUCGGGUUGUCAUGCCAAUGGCACUGCCCGGUAGCUAAAUGCGGAAGAGAUAAGUGCUGAAAGCAUCUAAGCACGAAACUUGCCCCGAGAUGAGUUCUCCCUGACCCUUUAAGGGUCCUGAAGGAACGUUGAAGACGACGACGUUGAUAGGCCGGGUGUGUAAGCGCAGCGAUGCGUUGAGCUAACCGGUACUAAUGAACCGUGAGGCUUAACCUUACAACGCCGAAGCUGUU
rnacentral:rRNA from 1 species